rnacentral:lncRNA from 1 species
GGGGAAAUAAUAUAGCUAGGGAGAAAUAAUGUAGCUGGGAAAAAUAAUGUAGCUAUGGAGAAAUAAUGUAGCUAGGGAGAAAUAAUAUAGGUAGGGGGAAAUAAUAUAGCUAGGGAGAAAUAAUAUAGCUAGGGAGAAAUAAUAUAGCUAGGGAGAAAUAAUAUUGCUAAGGGGAAAUCAUAUAGCUAGGGGGAAAUAAUAUAGCUAGGGAGAAAUAAUAUAGCUAAGGGGAAAUAAUAUAGCUAGGUAGAAAUAAUAUAGCUAAGGUGAAAUCAUAAAGCUAGGGGGAAAUAAUAUGGCUAGGGAGAAAUAAUAUAGCUAGGGAGAAAAAAUGUUGGUUCUGUUGGAGCUUGAGGAAGGAAGUGUUCUCUGAUUCGUUUUAUUUGACAGUGUUUCUAAAGUCAGCAAAAAAAGAAACGUCCUCUCACUGUCAACUGCGUUUAUUUUCAGCAAACUUAACAUGUGUAAAUAUUUGUAUGAACUGUGGCAAAGAAGGGGGUCGAGUGAUAAAUGGCAGAUAUGUGAGGGCAGAACUAAUAAACGGGCUCUGCCCGAUCACUAAAAUGGCCACCCCGAUCAGAACUACAGGUCACAAAAUGGCCGACUGCCAAAACUACAAUUCCCAGAAGCAAGGGGAACCCUCAGAAGGUGGAGCCGAC